rnacentral:rRNA from 1 species
GAUGAACACUGACAGAAUGCUUAACACAUGCAAGUCAACUUGAACUUCGGUUUGGGUGGCGGACGGGUGAGUAACACGUAAAGAGCUUGCCUCACAGAUAGGGACAACAUUUGGAAACGAAUGCUAAUACCUGAUAUUAUGAUUUUAGGGCAUCCUAGGAUUAUGAAAGCUAUAUGCGCUGUGAGAGAGCUUUUCGUCCCAUUAGCUAGUUGGAGAGAGAACGGCUCUCCAAGGCGAUGAUGGGUAGCCGGCCUGAGAGAGUGAUCUCGGCCAAGAGGGCUGAGACACGGCCCUUACUCUCACGGGGGGGAGCAGUGGGGGAUAUUGGGCAAUGGGCCACGAGACUGAUCCCGCAAUUCUGUGUGCACGAUGAAGUUUUUCGGAAUGUGAAGUGCUUUCAGUUGGGGAACGAAAAAAGACGGGACCCACAGAGGAAAUGACGGCUAAAUACAUGCGACCAGCGCCGCUAAUACGUAUGUCACAAGCGUUAUCCCGGUUUAUUGGGCGUAAAGCGCGCCCAGGGGGUAUAUAAGUCUGAUGUGAAAAUGGGGGCUCAACUCUCUAUUGCGUUGGGAACUGUGUAACUGAGGACUGGGGAGGGAUGGGGACUACCAAGUAAAGGGAAAAUCCCAAAAUUUUAGGGAUGCCCAGGGGAAACCGCGUAUUGGAACAUACUGAGCUGAAGGCGAAAACUUGUAGACAAACAGAUAGGACCCAUAGGCCAGGGGCGAUUCCCACUGGGGUGCGGCCGGGGACCCUUAUUUUAGAGGGUCGCUCGGGGAGUCCAUUUGCCUUUGCGGCGUAUAGGCGGGGCUGGCAUUAUUUAACGUCGGAUGGGAAACCCUGCGUUCCUAUUUAUGCGUGCGCACUCCCUUUUCGCAGUGGUUAUACUAUAC